rnacentral:rRNA from 1 species
UAGGGAAUCUUCGGCAAUGGGGGCAACCCUGACCGAGCAACGCCGCGUGAGUGAAGAAGGUUUUCGGAUCGUAAAGCUCUGUUGUAAGAGAAGAACGUGUGUGAGAGUGGAAAGUUCACACCGUGACGGUAACUUACCAGAAAGGGACGGCUAACUACGUGCCAGCAGCCGCGGUAAUACGUAGGUCCCAAGCGUUGUCCGGAUUUAUUGGGCGUAAAGCGAGCGCAGGCGGUUUAAUAAGUCUGAAGUUAAAGGCAGUGGCUUACCCAUUGUUCGCUUUUGAAACUGGUAAACUUGAGUGCAGAAGGGGAGCGUGGAAUUCCAUGUGUAGCGGUGAAAUGCGUAGAUAUAUGGAGGAACACCGGUGGCGAAAGCGGCUCUCUGGACUGUAGCUGACGCUGAGGCUCGAAAGCGUAGGGAGCAAACAGG